CGUAUCACCCAAGACAACUUUACGGAGUUGACGAUUGACGGAGCGAAGCGACGUCAAAGCGUUCAUUAAAGUCGAGUUGGCUUAGGGAUACGUUCGUUGGGUAGGGGAGCGUUCUGUAAGCCUGUGAAGGUGUGUCGUGAGGCAUGCUGGAGGUAUCAGAAGUGCGAAUGCUGACAUAAGUAACGAUAAAGCGGGUGAAAAGCCCGCUCGCCGGAAGACCAAGGGUUCCUGUCCAACGUUAAUCGGGGCAGGGUGAGUCGACCCCUAAGGCGAGGCCGAAAGGCGUAGUCGAUGGGAAACGGGUUAAUAUUCCCGUACUUGGUGUUACUGCGAAGGGGGGACGGAGAAGGCUAUGUUGGCCGGGCGACGGUUGUCCCGGUUUAAGCGUGUAGGUGUGUGUUCCAGGUAAAUCCGGUUCACUUUAACACUGAGGCGUGACGACGAGGCACUACGGUGCUGAAGCAACAAAUGCCCUGCUUCCAGGAAAAGCCUCUAAGCAUCAGGUAACACGAAAUCGUACCCCAAACCGACACAGGUGGUCAGGUAGAGAAUACCAAGGCGCUUGAGAGAACUCGGGUGAAGGAACUAGGCAAAAUGGUGCCGUAACUUCGG
rnacentral:rRNA from 1 species